UGGCGGACGGGUGAGUAAUGUCUUGGAAACUGCCUGAUGGAGGGGGAUAACUACUGGAAACGGUAGCUAAUACCGCAUAACGUCGCAAGACCAAAGAGGGGGACCUUCGGGCCUCUUGCCAUCGGAUGUGCCCAGAUGGGAUUAGCUAGUAGGUGGGGUAAAGGCUCACCUAGGCGACGAUCCCUAGCUGGUCUGAGAGGAUGGCCAGCCACACUGGAACUGAGACACGGUCCAG
rnacentral:rRNA from 1 species